GACUGGAAUUCCUGGUGUACCGGUGAAAUGCGCAGAUAUCAGGAGGAACACCGAUGGCGAAGGCAGGUCUCUGGGCUGUAACUGACGCUGAGGAGCGAAAGCAUGGGGAGCGAACAGGAUUAGAUACCCUGGUAGUCCAUGCCGUAAACGUUGGGCACUAGGUGUGGGGGACAUUCCACGUUUUCCGCGCCGUAGCUAACGCAUUAAGUGCCCCGCCUGGGGAGUACGGCCGCAAGGCUAAAACUCAAAGGAAUUGACGGGGGCCCGCACAAGCGGCGGAGCAUGCGGAUUAAUUCGAUGCAACGCGAAGAACCUUACCAAGGCUUGACAUGAACCGGAAUGAUGCAGAGAUGUGUCAGCCACUUGUGGCCGGUUUACAGGUGGUGCAUGGUUGUCGUCAGCUCGUGUCGUGAGAUGUUGGGUUAAGUCCCGCAACGAGCGCAACCCUCGUUCCAUGUUGCCAGCGGGUUAUGCCGGGGACUCAUGGGAGACUGCCGGGGUCAACUCGGAGGAAGGUGGGGACGACGUCAAAUCAUCAUGCCCCUUAUGUCUUGGGCUUCACGCAUGCUACAAUGGCCGGUACAAAGGGUUGCGAUACUGUGAGGUGGAGCUAAUCCCAAAAAGCCGGUCUCAGUUCGGAUUGAGGUCUGCAACUCGACCUCAUGAAGUUGGAGUCGCUAGUAAUCGCAGAUCAGCAACGCUGCGGUGAAUACGUUCCCGGGCCUUGUACACACCGCCCGUCAAGUCACGAAAGUUGGUAACACCCGAAGCCGGUGGCCUAACCCCUUGUGGGAGGGAGC
rnacentral:rRNA from 1 species